rnacentral:tmRNA from 1 species
GGGGCUGCUAUGGCUUCGACGUUACACGGAAAGCCUGCAAUGGCCCGUGACGGACGAGGGUUCGAUUCCCUCCAGCUCCACGG